rnacentral:rRNA from 1 species
UACGGAGGAUGCGAGCGUUAUCCGGAUUUAUUGGGUUUAAAGGGUGCGCAGGCGGAUUUUUAAGUCAGCGGUCAAAUCGUGGGGCUCAACCCCAUCCAGCCGUUGAAACUGGGGGCCUUGAGUGGGCGAGAAGAAGGCGGAAUGCGUGGUGUAGCGGUGAAAUGCAUAGAUAUCACGCAGAACCCCGAUUGCGAAGGCAGCCUUCCGGCGCCCUACUGACGCUGAGGCACGAAAGUGCGGGUAUCGAACAGG